UACGGAGGGUGCGAGCGUUGUCCGGAAUCAUUGGGCGUAAAGGGCGCGUAGGUGGCCCGGUCAGUUCGUGGUGAAAGCGCGGGCUCAACCCUGCGUCGGCCAUGAAUACUGCCGCGGCUGGAGCACUGUAGAGGCAGGCGGAAUUCCGGGUGUAGCGGUGGAAUGCGUAGAGAUCCGGAAGAACACCGGUGGCGAAGGCGGCCUGCUGGGCAGUUGCUGACACUGAGGCGCGAAAGCGUGGGGAGCGAACGAGGAUUGAUGAUACCCUUCG
rnacentral:rRNA from 1 species